rnacentral:misc_RNA from 1 species
UCCGGUUUGACACCGGCAGUCUCCCUAGAGUGCCCGGCAUAACCCGCUGGUAACUAGGGACGAGGGUUGCGCUCGUUGCGGGACUUAGCCCAACAUCUCACGACACGAGCUGACGACAGCCAUGCAGCACCUGUGCACGGACUCCGAAGAGGGGCCGAUGUUUCCACCGGCUUUCCCGUGCAUGUCAAGCCCAGGUAAGGUGGGGAUGACGUGUGAGAGUACGUCC